rnacentral:rRNA from 1 species
GAGUUUGAUCCUGGCUCAGAAUCAACGCUGGCGGCGUGCCUAACACAUGCAAGUCGAACGAGAAAGUGGAGCAAUCCAUGAGUAAAGUGGCGACCGGGUGAGUAACACGUGACUAACCUACCUCCGAGUGGGGAAUAACUCCGGGAAACCGGGGCUAAUACCGCAUAACAUCGCGAGAUCAAAGCAGCAAUGCGCUUGGAGAGGGGGUCGCGGCUGAUUAGCUAGUUGGCGGGGUAAUGGCCCACCAAGGCUUUGAUCGGUAGCCGGCCUGAGAGGGCGCACGGCCACACUGGAACUGAAACACGGUCCAGACUCCUACGGGAGGCAGCAGUGGGGAAUUUUGCGCAAUGGGGGAAACCCUGACGCAGCAACGCCGCGUGGAGGAUGAAGUCCCUUGGGACGUAAACUCCUUUCGACCCGGACGAUAAUGACGGUACGGGUGGAAGAAGCCCCGGCUAACUUCGUGCCAGCAGCCGCGGUAAUACGUAGGGUGCGAGCGUUAAUCGGAAUUACUGGGCGUAAAGAGUGCGUAGGCGGUGUUCCCAGUCUGUUGUGAAAUCUCCCGGCUUAACCGGGAGGGUGCGGUGAAUACUGAGGGACUAGAGUACGGGAGAGGAAAGUGGAAUUCCUGGUGUAGCGGUGAAAUGCGUAGAUAUCAGGAGGAACACCGGUGGUGUAGACGGCUUUCUGGACCGACACUGACGCUGAGACACGAAAGCGUGGGUAGCAAACAGGAUUAGAUACCCUGGUAGUCCACGCCCUAAACGAUGCAUAUUUGGUGUGGGCAGUUCAUUCUGUCCGUGCCGGAGCUAACGCGUUAAAUAUGCCGCCUGGGGAGUACAGUCGCAAGGCUGAAACUCAAAGGAAUUGACGGGGGCCCGCACAAGCGGUGGAGCAUGUGGCUUAAUUCGAUGCAACGCGAAGAACCUUACCUGGCCUUGACAUGCAUCUCUAAGCUGGUGAAAGCCAGUGACUCCCGAAAGGGAGAAUUUGCACAGGUGCUGCAUGGCUGUCGUCAGCUCGUGUCGUGAGAUGUUGGGUUAAGUCCCGCAACGAGCGCAACCCCUGUGAACUGUUGCCACCAAGCCGAGAGGCUUGAGCACUCUGUUCAGACUGCCCUGUGAAACGGGGAGGAAGGUGGGGACGACGUCAAGUCAGUAUGGCCCUUACGGCCAGGGCUGCACACGUACUACAAUGCCCAGUACAGAACGAUCCGAGACCGCAAGGUGGAGGUAAUCUAGUAAAACUGGGCCCAGUUCGGAUUGGAGUCUGCAACUCGACUCCAUGAAGCCGGAAUCGCUAGUAAUGGCGCAUCAGCUACGGCGCCGUGAAUACGUUCCCGGGCCUUGUACACAC